rnacentral:lncRNA from 1 species
CCGCGCCGCCCGCGACUCGCGAAUCGCACUGUGUGUCGUCUGUCAGUCUUGCACGCGUCUCUCCGAAGAGAUAGACGCUCUAGACGCCCCCGACUGCCGACGUCGCGACGCUCGUGCCGACGAACAACCGCGUUUCACUCGCUGUUUUGGCCGUUGUUGGAUCGGUCUCGAAAAAAAACAAUAACAUUGUCGGAUAAUUGUGCGUUUUUUUUUCUCGUUAUUUGAGGAGGUUUUUUUUGUUUACCGCUGGUUUUUUGGAAGGAGUUGUUGGAUUUUUCGAUUGGAAGUGGAGAUCUUUCCAGAGAAGACUAGAGUUGUGUGAAUCUAACAUAAGGAUAUCGACUGAGAAUUGCUGUGAAAUUAAUUUGCACCAACAGAAGCGGAAGCGGAAAGGUCCUUGAAGGAAGACAAAAUUCAACAUAUCCUGACAUAUCGUCAUGUUAAUUCCUUGGUUUCUUAGCCUUUUCAUAGGCGUAGUAUGGGG